rnacentral:rRNA from 1 species
CAGGUCACUCCUACGGGAGGCAGCAGUAGGGAAUAUUGGACAAUGGGGGAAACCCUGAUCCAGCCAUGCCGCGUGAGUGAAGAAGGCCUUCGGGUUGUAAAGCUCUUUUGGCGGGGACGAUGAUGACGGUACCCGCAGAAUAAGCCCCGGCUAACUUCGUGCCAGCAGCCGCGGUAAGACGAAGGGGGCGAGCGUUGUUCGGAAUCACUGGGCGUAAAGGGCGCGUAGGCGGCGCGAUAAGUCAGGCGUGAAAGCCCCAGGCUCAACCUGGGAAAUGCGCUUGGGACUGUCGUGCUAGAGAGCGGGAGAGGAUGGUGGAAUUCCCAGUGUAGAGGUGAAAUUCGUAGAUAUUGGGAAGAACACCGGUGGCGAAGGCGGCCAUCUGGACCGUUUCUGACGCUGAGGCGCGAAAGCGUGGGGAGCAAACAGGAUUAGAUACCCUGGUAGUCCUAGCCCUAAACCAUGGAUGCUAGCCGUUGGCGAGCUUGCUCGUCAGUGGCGCAGCUAACGCUUUAAGCAUCCCGCCUGGGGAGUACGGUCGCAAGAUUAAAACUUAAAGGAAUUGACG